UUACCUCAGUAACGGCGAGUGAAGCGGUAACAGCUCAAAUUUGAAAUCUGGCCUCACGGUCCGAGUUGUAAUUUGUAGAGGAUGCUUCGAGCAUGGUCUGGCCUAAGUUCCUUGGAACAGGACGUCAUAGAGGGUGAGAAUCCCGUAUGCGGCCAGGUGCCUACGCUCAUGUGAAGCUCCUUCGACGAGUCGAGUUGUUUGGGAAUGCAGCUCAAAAUGGGUGGUAAAUUUCAUCUAAAGCUAAAUAUUGGCCAGAGACCGAUAGCGCACAAGUAGAGUGAUCGAAAGAUGAAAAGCACUUUGGAAAGAGAGUUAAACAGUACGUGAAAUUGUUGAAAGGGAAGCGCUUGCAACCAGACUUGCGCGCGGCCGAUCAUCCGGUGUUCUCACCGGUGCACUCGGCCGUGCUCAGGCCAGCAUCGGUUUUGGCGGCUGGAUAAAGGCCCUAGGAAUGUAGCUCCUCUCGGGGAGUGUUAUAGCCUAGGGUGCAAUGCAGCCUGCUGGGACCGAGGACCGCGCUUCGGCUAGGAUGCUGGCGUAAUGGUUGUAAGCGGCCCGUCUUGAAACACGGACCAAGGAGUCUAACAUCUAUGCGAGUGUUUGGGUGUCAAACCCAUACGCGUAAUGAAAGUGAACGGAGGUGAGAACCCUUAAGGGUGCAUCAUCGACCGGUCCUGAAGUUUACGGAAGGAUCUGAGUAAGAGCAUAGCUGUUGGGACCCGAAAGAUGGUGAACUAUGCCUGAAUAGGGUGAAGCCAGAGGAAACUCUGGUGGAGGCUCGCAGCGGUUCUGACGUGCAAAUCGAUCGUCAAAUUUGGGUAUAGGGGCGAAAGACUAAUCGAACCAUUGACCUGUAGGAACACUACUAGGUGGUUWAGAGGCGGCUAAAAGUGCCGUCUAGUCCCGACGCCGGGGCGACACUGUCAAAUUGCGGGAACAUCCUUAGAGCCUAGACUACCGCAGCCUUCCUGAAAGGGGGGUGCGCACCAGGGUAAUGACCUCGGGUAUGGUAAUAACGUCUAGGAUUGGACAAUCCGCAGCCAAGCCCUACGGACCUCGGUCUAUGGGUGCAGUUCAUCGACUAGAUGGCAGUGGGUGGCAGCAAUGCCGCUUAAGAUAUAGUCAGACCCCCGGGAGACCGGGCGGCAGAACGAAGACCGUGGGGGGCGUCCUCUCUGAGAGCCCCGCGGUCCCGAGUCUGCUGGUGGCGUCGCA
rnacentral:rRNA from 1 species